GAUGAACGCUGGCGGCGUGCCUAAUACAUGCAAGUCGAGCGAACAGACGAGGAGCUUGCUCCUCUGACGUUAGCGGCGGACGGGUGAGUAACACGUGGAUAACCUACCUAUAAGACUGGGAUAACUUCGGGAAACCGGAGCUAAUACCGGAUAAUAUAUUGAACCGCAUGGUUCAAUAGUGAAAGACGGUUUUGCUGUAACUUAUAGAUGGAUCCGCGCCGCAUUAGCUAGUUGGUAAGGUAACGGCUUACCAAGGCAACGAUGCGUAGCCGACCUGAGAGGGUGAUCGGCCACACUGGAACUGAGACACGGUCCAGACUCCUACGGGAGGCAGCAGUAGGGAAUCUUCCGCAAUGGGCGAAAGCCUGACGGAGCAACGCCGCGUGAGUGAUGAAGGUCUUCGGAUCGUAAAACUCUGUUAUUAGGGAAGAACAAAUGUGUAAGUAACUAUGCGCGUCUUGACGGUACCUAAUCAGAAAGCCACGGCUAACUACGUG
rnacentral:rRNA from 1 species